GGGUGUGAGGGUGAUCUGGCUGCCAUAUCUGUCACCCCAUUGAUCGCCAGAGUUGAUUCGGCUGAUCUGGCUGGCUAGGCAGGUGUCCCCUUCCUCCCUCAAUGCUCCAUGUAUGUCCCUCCAGAAACCACGCACUCAGUCGAAGAGGACAACCACCCCCGAUAGAGGAGGACCGUUCUUUGGUCAAGGGUAUACGAGUAGCUGCGCUCCCCUGCUAGAACCACCAAACAAGCUCUCAAGAAGAUAUGGACGGGUUCCUAAAUACAUACAAAUUACCAAAGUUAAAUCAAGAAGAUAUAAAAAUU
rnacentral:snRNA from 1 species